UGAGAUAAAAAGUCAUAAUUAUGAGAUAAGAAAGUCGAAAUAAUGAGAUAAAAAGUCAUAAUUAUGAGAUAAGAAGUGCGCAUGCGCUGCAGUGGCGCUGUCUUCAAAGGUCCCUUCAUCACCUUGCUGCUCUCCACCAUGCAAACGGCAUCUAGUCCUAAAUAAGAGGUGGAGAGGUUUUUUCAACUGUCACAAGAUGGACGAGCUAUCUGACUAUUUAAGGUCACGACAUGUACCUGAGGAAGACAUACAGCGAAUGGAACAGGAGAAGAUGGAUUCCAGUGUCAUAACUCUCAUGACAGAUGACCAGCUGAGAGAGUAUCUGCCAUCCUAUGGUGAUCGACUGGCUGUUUUUGGAUACUGUAGACGGAAGGAAAAAGAACCCACGAGUCGCAAGUCAAAGCUCUUUGAGCGACUUAGAGGAAAGCUCUCAAGAAACAAAGGUGAUCAUGUGUCUGAGACAGACCAUCAAACCGCUCCAAAGAAUGCUCAGAAGAAUCAAAGAAAGAUUGAAAUUGGAUGGGUGCAUUUCAGAGAAGGGGAAUUUGUGCAGGUACGCACCAAAAAGGGUGGGGGGACCAGAAAAGAGAGUGUCAUGAAGGACAGUACAAAACAGAACCUAAUUGAAAAGGCUGUGCAGUUGUUUUUUCCAGAUGGAAAAAAUGCAGAGGGGAGCCUUACUGAUUUUGACAUUGAUUUAACGGACUUUCAGCGGCAUUCAUUAGAGGAUAGUAUCACAGUCAAGGAACUGUAUGAAAAGACAAAAUUACCUCUUACGUUUCUAUUUAACAACCAAGAAGAGAGACAUUGCCAGUGACAUAAAUCUGGUGGAAAACAAUAGUGAUGCAACUGCUCAAGAAGGUGAAAACACACAUGCCAGACCUGAUAUCUAUCACCUCUCUACAGACACAUCUGUAAGAGAUCCGGUGGAGAUAAGGACUUCAGAUGUCAUUUUUAUUGGAAGCAGCACAGUUUUUGCAAAUGAAAACAGUGAUAGUGAUUCCCUUCUUUACACCACAGUCAACCCAACUGAUGCAUCCAGUUUGCAAGAACAUGAAACACUGUUUCAUGUCGGUGCUUUAGAUGAUAGUGGCAUUGUAACUUUCCGCACAGACAGCAUCUCUCUGAUGGAGUACUCCAGUCUUGAUGAUACAUUGCCUCUCUCUACGGAACUGUCUAUUGAAUCAUCCAUGCCUCCUUCAAUGGAUAUGUUUCAGGAACAAGCCAAUCAGAGAGAAAGAGUGAAGAAAAUUAUUGUUCUUCAUCGUGGACAGAUUCUCAGAGAACUUAUUCUAGUGUUUUCUGAGGAAAAUAUCAUGGAGAAUGACUUUCACUUCCAAGUUAUUCUUCCCGAUGGAAAGCUUGAAAAAGCUGUGGAUGAUGGAGGUGUUAUGAGGGAUAUACUGUCCGAAUUUUGGAAUGACUUUUAUGAGCAGUGCACUAUGGGAAAUGGCUUCAAAGUGCCAUACCUGCGUCAUGAUUUUGGUAAACAAGAAUGGGAAAGUGUAGGCCGAAUAAUCACAUUUGGCUGGCAAAAAGAGAAGUACCUUCCUGUUAAACUUUCACCUGUACUUCUGGAGCAAGCUGUUUUGGGCUUU